GGUCUCUAGAGCUUAUAGCUUUUGGAUGGGUAGCAUUUUGUCUACAGCAUUUCAAUCUACAGUUUUUCAUUUCAGGCUUGUUUGUGCACCCAAGUUUUUUUUUUUUUGCCUCCUUCCAUCACAAAGAAGAAUGGAGACAUCGUGCCAUCUGAAUGUGUUCUACUUCCCAGCAGCAUAGACUUAUCAUUAGCAGGAACAAAAAGAACGUGUAAAAGAAAAGGCCACAAAUGAACCUGAGAGAAGAUUUUAUGAUGAUCGUCAGCCAUGAUGUCGCAACUCAGGACAGCAUCAUUGCUCAGAGUAAGCUGGAGGCAUUCCUGAUUUGAAGGCAGCUGGUCAGUAAUGGACAAGAAUAGAAUUAAGCAAAAUAUCCAGUGGUUUGAAGAUGUCUUGGAACCAGGUCAUUUAAAAGGUAGAUAAUCCUAAGAGGUCUGACAACCGUAUUAACAUCCAAACCACAAAUGAUGGGUAAUAUGAAAAGCUGGAUUUUCUGACAUACACCCUUUACAUCUGCUUUCUGCAUCAGAGCCAGAAUUAGUUCUACUGCUGUGUUUGUAUUAAAUAUGUGGAUUAAUGGAGCUCAGCGAGAGUGCUGAAUAAGCUCUUCCCAUCUCCAGUGGCUUUGGACGGCAUCUUUCCAUGCAGAGAAAAAUGUGUAGCUUGUUAUAUUCUGUUUUGCACUUGGAAAAACUGUGGCUUGGUACUAAAUCAACAGCUGCUUGUUCAGAAGAAUAGAUUCCAAAGUUCUAUUAGAACUAAGCAAAUUUGGGCUGAGGGUGGCAACAGGGCUGAAAUACUACAAGGAAUCAUUUUGGUCGUGUUGGCUCAGACCGUAGCCCACCAACAGUGCCACUGCUCAAAGAGAACUGACCCCUCUAAUGAAUACCGAAAGACCAGAGUCCCAAUCCAGGAAGAUUUGAUGGCACCUGCAAAUCCAAACAAUGAAGAUAUGUUGCUCCAGUAUCCUGGCUCAGUCACUGCUCAGCAACAUCCAUGACAUCAGUGAAGACAGACAGAGAUAUCCAAUAUGACUGCCACUCAAAGGACAGUUGCCUGCAUGCCAUGACAGGCAGA
ensembl:lncRNA